rnacentral:rRNA from 1 species
AAUGGGCGAAAGCCUGAUGCAGCAACCCCGCGUGAGGGACGACGGCCUUCGGGUUGUAAACCUCUUUUAGCAGGGAAGAAGCGAAAGUGACGGUACCUGCAGAAAAAGCGCCGGCUAACUACGUGCCAGCAGCCGCGGUAAUACGUAGGGCGCAAGCGUUAUCCGGAAUUAUUGGGCGUAAAGAGCUCGUAGGCGGUUUGUCGCGUCUGCUGUGAAAUCCCGAGGCUCAACCUCGGGUCUGCAGUGGGUACGGGCAGACUAGAGUGCGGUAGGGGAGAUUGGAAUUCCUGGUGUAGCGGUGGAAUGCGCAGAUAUCAGGAGGAACACCGAUGGCGAAGGCAGAUCUCUGGGCCGUAACUGACGCUGAGGAGCGAAAGGGUGGGGAGCAAACAGGCUUAGAUACCCUGGUAGUCCACCCCGUAAACGUUGGGAACUAGUUGUGGGGUCCAUUCCACGGAUUCCGUGACGCAGCUAACGCAUUAAGUUCCCCGCCUGGGGAGUACGGCCGCAAGGCUAAAACUCAAAGGAAUUGACGGGGACCCGCACAAGCGGCGGAGCAUGCGGAUUAAUUCGAUGCAACGCGAAGAACCUUACCAAGGCUUGACAUAUACGAGAACGGGCCAGAAAUGGUCAACUCUUUGGACACUCGUAAACAGGUGGUGCAUGGUUGUCGUCAGCUCGUGUCGUGAGAUGUUGGGUUAAGUCCCGCAACGAGCGCAACCCUCGUUCUAUGUUGCCAGCACGUAAUGGUGGGAACUCAUGGGAUACUGCCGGGGUCAACUCGGAGGAAGGUGGGGAUGACGUCAAAUCAUCAUGCCCCUUAUGUCUUGGGCUUCACGCAUGCUACAAUGGCCGGUACAAAGGGCUGCAAUACCGUAAGGUGGAGCGAAUCCCAAAAAGCCGGUCCCAGUUCGGAUUGAGGUCUGCAACUCGACCUCAUGAAGUCGGAGUCGCUAGUAAUCGCAGAUCAGCAACGCUGCGGUGAAUACGUUCCCGGGUCUUGUACACACCGCCCGUCAAGUCAUGAAAGUCGGUAACACCUGAA